rnacentral:rRNA from 1 species
GACGAACGCUGGCGGCGUGCUUAACACAUGCAAGUCGAGCGGUAAGGCCCUUUCGGGGUACGACGAGCGGCGAACGGGUGAGUAACACGUGGGUGACCUGCCUUUAGUCUCUGGGAUAAGCCUGGGAAACCGGGUCUAAUACCGGAUAUGACUCCGCGGCGCAUGUUGUGGGGUGGAAAGCCUUGUGCGGCUGGAGAUGGGCCCGCGGCCUAUCAGCUUGUUGGUGGGGUGAUGGCCUACCAAGGCGACGACGGGUAGCCGGCCUGAGAGGGCGACCGGCCACACUGGGACUGAGACACGGCCCAGACUCCUACGGGAGGCAGCAGUGGGGAAUCUUGCGCAAUGGCGAAAGCCUGACGCAGCGACGCCGCGUGAGGGAUGACGGCCU